rnacentral:tRNA from 1 species
GCUCGGUUGAUCUAGUUGGUUAUGAUGCGGACCUAAUACUUUCUGUGUUUAGUCCGAUGUCGGCGGUUCGAUCCCGCCACUGAGCA